AUUGAACGCUGGCGGCAGGCUUAACACAUGCAAGUCGAGCGGGGGAAGGUAGCUUGCUACCUAACCUAGCGGCGGACGGGUGAGUAAUGCUUAGGAAUCUGCCUAUUAGUGGGGGACAACAUUUCGAAAGGGAUGCUAAUACCGCAUACGCCCUAAGGGGGAAAGCAGGGGAUCUUCGGACCUUGCGCUAAUAGAUGAGCCUAAGUCGGAUUAGCUAGUUGGUGGGGUAAAGGCCUACCAAGGCGACGAUCUGUAGCGGGUCUGAGAGGAUGAUCCGCCACACUGGGACUGAGACACGGCCCAGACUCCUACGGGAGGCAGCAGUGGGGAAUAUUGGACAAUGGGGGGAACCCUGAUCCAGCCAUGCCGCGUGUGUGAAGAAGGCCUUUUGGUUGUAAAGCACUUUAAGCGAGGAGGAGGCUACCGAGAUUAAUACUCUUGGAUAGUGGACGUUACUCGCAGAAUAAGCACCGGCUAACUCUGUGCCAGCAGCCGCGGUAAUACAGAGGGUGCGAGCGUUAAU
rnacentral:rRNA from 1 species